UGGGGAAUAUUGGACAAUGGGCGCAAGCCUGAUCCAGCCAUGCCGCGUGAGUGAUGAAGGCCCUAGGGUUGUAAAGCUCUUUCACCGGUGAAGAUAAUGACGGUAACCGGAGAAGAAGCCCCGGCUAACUUCGUGCUAGCAGCCGCGGUAAUACGAAGGGGGCUAGCGUUGUUCGGAUUUACUGGGCGUAAAGCGCACGUAGGCGGACUUUUAAGUCAGGGGUGAAAUCCCGGGGCUCAACCCCGGAACUGCCUUUGAUACUGGAAGUCUUGAGUAUGGUAGAGGUGAGUGGAAUUCCGAGUGUAGAGGUGAAAUUCGUAGAUAUUCGGAGGAACACCAGUGGCGAAGGCGGCUCACUGGACCAUUACUGACGCUGAGGUGCGAAAGCGUGGGAGCAAACAGG
rnacentral:rRNA from 1 species